AACGAACGCUGGCGGCAUGCCUAACACAUGCAAGUCGAACGAGACCUUCGGGUCUAGUGGCGCACGGGUGCGUAACGCGUGGGAAUUUGCCUCGGGGUACGGAAUAAACUCAGGGAAACUUGAGCUAAUACCGUAUGAUGUCUUCGGACCAAAAGAUUUAUCGCCCUGAGAUAAGCCCGCGUAGGAUUAGCUAAGUUGGUGAGGUAAAGAGCUCACCAAGGCGACGAUCCUUAGCUGGUCUGAGAGGAUGAUCAGCCACACUGGGACUGAGACACGGCCCAGACUCCUACGGGAGGCAGCAGUGGGGAAUAUUGGGACAAUGGGCGAAAGCCUGAUCCAGCCAUGCCGCGUGUGUGAAGAAGGUCUUCGGAUUGUAAACUGCUUUUAUACA
rnacentral:rRNA from 1 species